GGCUCAAUGGUCUAGUGGUAUGAUUCCUGCUUUGGGUUCCACCCUUCUAUCUACACAUAUAGAAAUGCAGGAGGCCCCGGGUUCAAAUCCCGGUUGAGCCC